rnacentral:rRNA from 1 species
UACGUAGGGUGCGAGCGUUGUCCGGAAUUACUGGGCGUAAAGAGCUCGUAGGUGGUUUGUCGCGUUGUUCGUGAAAUCCCACGGCUUAACUGUGGGCGUGCGGGCGAUACGGGCAGACUGGAGUACUGCAGGGGAGACUGGAAUUCCUGGUGUAGCGGUGAAAUGCGCAGAUAUCAGGAGGAACACCGGUGGCGAAGGCGGGUCUCUGGGCCGAUACUGACGCUGAGGAGCGAAAGCGUGGGGAGCGAACAGG